CCUACGGGAGACAGCAGUGGGGGAUAUUGCACAAUGGGGGGAACCCUGAUGCAGCGACGCCGCGUGGAUGAAGGAGCGUUUCGGCGCGUAAAGCCCUAUCGGCAGGGAAGAAGGAGGACGGUACCUGGCUAAGAAGCCCCGGCUAACUACGUGCCAGCAGCCGCGGUAAUACGUAGGGGGCAAGCGUUAUCCGGAUUUACUGGGGUGAACGGGUGCGCAGACGGCAGUGCAAGCCAGGAGUGAAAGCCCGGGGCCCAACCCCGGGACUGCGUUUGGAACUGAGCGGCUGGAGUGCAGUAGGGGUAGGCGGAAUGCCUGGUGUAGCGGUGAAAUGCGUAGAUAUCAGGAGGAACACCGGUGGCGAAGGCGGCCUGCUGGACUGCGACUGACGUUGAGGCCCGAAAGCGUGGGGAGCAAACAGGAUUAGAUACCCUGGUAGUC
rnacentral:rRNA from 1 species